rnacentral:rRNA from 1 species
GUCAGCGCAGCCUUUCCCCGCAAGGGGAGGGGUGAGCUGUGAAGGCCUGCGAUAGAAGAUCGCGUUGAAGGGGUGGGGGUGUACGCUGGAAGCCUUCGGGCGACCAGUUCAGCCCGUCCACUACCUAUCGGCCAACGUGCGGAUGAA